GGCUUCCUGAUCUACAUCUCCAGCCUACCUCUCUCUUGUGAGCUCCAGUUUCCUUGCUUGACAUAGUCAUUGGUGAAGAGACUACUGCUAAUGAAGUGGAGCUGACAUCAUAACCCCUGAUGAUUCAGGCCACACAGCAUGGCAUGUGGGAUCUUGGUUCCCUGACCAGAGAUUGAACCCGUGCCCCCUGCAAUGGAAGCACAGAGUGGAAGCACUUAACCGCUGGACCAGAAGGGAAGUCCCUAAGG